CCGGGUGGCACGCCGAGUCCUGUCCCCGCCCGGUGACCAACGAAUUCGAGGGCAGGAGCGGGGGACCCAGGUUCCCGGGCGUUCUUUGCUGGACGUCCUUUGGGGUGAAGCCGCCGAGCGCACAUGGUGCCGCGGUGNGGCCGGGCGAAUCCCAGCCCGAACCCGACAGCUAACUUCGUAGGCGUGGGGAAGGACAA
rnacentral:sRNA from 2 species